AACGUAGGAGACAAACGUUAUCUGGAGUUACUGGGCGUAAAGGGCGUGUAGGCGGUUAGUUAAGUCUGGCGUGAAAGCUCUCGGCUAAACCGGGAGAGGUCGUUGGAUACUGGCUGACUAGAGGACGGUAGAGGCGUGUGGAAUUCCGGGUGUAGUGGUGAAAUGCGUAGAGAUCCGGAGGAACACCAGUGGCGAAGGCGACACGCUGGGCCGUACCUGACGCUAAAGCGCGACAGCAUGGGGAGCAAACGGG
rnacentral:rRNA from 1 species